rnacentral:rRNA from 1 species
UACAGAGGGUGCAAGCGUUAAUCGGAAUUACUGGGCGUAAAGCGUGCGUAGUCGGUUAUCUAAGUCGGGUGUGAAAUCCCCGGGCUCAACCUGGGAAUUGCAUUCGAUACUGGAUAGCUAGAGUUCGGCAGAGGGAAGCGGAAUUUCGGGUGUAGCGGUGAAAUGCGCAGAUAUCAGGAGGAACACCGGUGGCGAAGGCGGAUCUCUGGGCCGAUACUGACGCUGAGGAGCGAAAGCGUGGGGAGCGAACAGG